rnacentral:rRNA from 1 species
UACGGGGGGGGGCUAGCGUUGUUCGGAAUUACUGGGCGUAAAGCGCACGUAGGCGGCUUUGUAAGUUAGAGGUGAAAGCCCGGAGCUCAACUCCGGAAUAGCCUUUAAGACUGCAUCGCUAGAACGUUGGAGAGGUAAGUGGAAUUCCGAGUGUAGAGGUGAAAUUCGUAGAUAUUCGGAAGAACACCAGUGGCGAAGGCGACUUACUGGACAACUGUUGACGCUGAGGUGCGAAAGCGUGGGGAGCAAACAGG